GAUGGAGAAUUUCUGAAGCUGUUUGAAGGAGUGAAGCUCCUGAUCUAGUAGUACGUAUAAUACAAAAUAAUGAAAAAAUAACACUGAACAUAUUUUUUCCCUGAAGGGACCCAUAUGCACAACAUUUCCGUCUUGGAUUAUCUGUGUACUUUUUCUCUCUGCUCUGGUGUAUCAUGUCCUUUGAGCCAUGAAAUGUAACAGGGAAUUAAGAAGACUGUUCAGAAAGAGGCUUCCUGUGAACCCUUGAGUGUGUUUUCAGGUUUUUCUGCCUUUCAUCCCAGACUUCCUGUAUGUGUGAGGUUGUUCUGGUGUUAGUAAGAAGGAAAAAUGACCUGAUGUGACAAUGCCACACAGGUACUUAAAGGGUUAAUACUCCAGUUCCGUGGAUUGACAACUUUCCAGAUACCUGCUUCUCAAAAGAGAAGAACUACAUAUACCAGAGGACCUCACAGUCAGAGAAGGAAGAUAUGUCACGGAAAUCACGGGAUCUCUGUCUCACUGCCUAGCAGAGGGGUGUGUGCUUCCAAGCCGUGCACCUUUAUUCAAGAAAAUUCUCUGUUCCCUACAAUCUAACAAAAUCCUCUCUGUUCAAGCUAUGUGUUGAAGCAAUUGAUUUCCAGACACAACUUCAGUUCUGUCAGCUUUCCUGAAGGGCCCCCUUCAGGUACUGGAAGGCCAGCAUAAGGUCCUUCUGCAGCCUCCUCUUCUCUGCACUGAAGAGCCCCAGGUCUCUCAGUAUGUCCUCAUCGGCAAGGUUUUUCAGCCCUAUGGUCAUCUUCUUGGCACUCCUCUGGACUCCCUCCAAUAUCUUGACGUCCUUCUUGUUGUGGGAAGCCAAAACUGGAUGCAGUACUGCAGGUGGGGUCUCACAAGAGAAGAGCAGAGGGGCAGAAUCACCUCCCUUGACCUGCUGGUCAUGCUUCUCUUGAUGCAACCCAGGAUACGGUUGGCCUUCUGGACUGCAAGCACGCAGCUCAUGUUGAGUCUUUC
ensembl:lncRNA